UACGGAGGAUGCGAGCGUUAUCCGGAUUUAUUGGGUUUAAAGGGUGCGUAGGCGGGCUUUUAAGUCAGCGGUAAAAAUUCGGGGCUCAACCCCGUCCGGCCGUUGAAACUGGGGGCCUUGAGUGGGCGAGAAGAAGGCGGAAUGCGUGGUGUAGCGGUGAAAUGCAUAGAUAUCCCGCAGAACCCCGAUUGCGAAGGCAGCCUUCCGGCGCCCUACUGACGCUGAGGCACGAAAGUGCGGGGAUCGAACAGG
rnacentral:rRNA from 1 species